CACCCUGAGUUCUUUCCACCUACUAAGCAGGUAAAAUAAUAUCUAGAUUAAAACAAAGAGGUUCCAGCAGAGGUCGGUGCGCUCAGUUACUCGUUCAACACCUGUCAGAUGGUAAUGUGACAUCUGAGGUGUCAAACGUCUUCACGUGGUAUUGUUACUUUGAUACAAAUUGUUACUUUGUGUCAAAUCAGUAGUGAUUUGAAAAUUGCAUUGGGAGUGCCUGAGCUCAAUCAUCCCAUCACUACCCGUGGGCUUUUGUUGUGGCAGUUCACCUUAAGUUUGUGCUGUCUUCUAUGCUGUUUUUGGGAGAAGUCGUUUGGAAGCCAGGUUGUUAGUGUAGAGGAGAUUCGAAUGAACACAUCCACUCCAGACAUAAACCAAAAUGAGAAUACACAAGGACCUCUAUUCAGUGGCCAGAGAACAAAGGAAGAAGGGGACCACCCACAGCAAUCUCCCAGCAGGAGUCGUCCUUCCCCUCUUUUGCUCAUCUCACACCUGUAGUCUACAUCAAAGCUUCUCCUAUCAGCAACAAGCGUGGCAGGUUGAACCAAAGUGCGAGAGAACGAAUCAGCUGGGACCCGAUGAAGAUUAAAAAUGACUGUGGAUAAGUACUGGACUUCUGAAAUACUUUGUUUUGGAGAGUUCUCGGAAGACCAUUAGUUCCAGACAGUAUAUACACAUUCAUCUUAAAAUAGCUAGGUGGGACACAGGCCUCUGUCCAAUAAUCCCUGCCUUGACUCAUUCUGAAAUAUCAAGAAUAACGGUUUGAAUUUAGUCCCUCUAAUCCCCAUUACCUGUUUGUGACUGAUUCUGUAGCCUGUAUUAGUACAUCAUUUUGCCCUUACAAUCUCCAUGAUUCAUUCCUCCUGUAUAUCCAUUACUUCACCCUGGUUAUUACUAAAUAAGUCUUCUUUG